GACGAACGCUGGCGGCGUGCCUAAUACAUGCAAGUCGAACGCCGUGGGGGCGGGUGAGUAACACGUGGGUAACCUCCCCAUCAGAGGGGAUAACACUUGGAAACAGGUGCUAAACCGAUACUGAUGGAUGGACCCGCGGUGCAUUAGCUAGUUGGGGAGGUAACGGCUACCCAAGGCCACGAUGCAUAGCCGCCCUGAGAGGGUGUGCGGCCAAACGGGGACGGAUACACGGCCCAGACCCCUACGGGAGGCAGAAGUAGGGAAUCUUCGGAAAUGGACGAAAGUCUGACCGAGCAACGCCGCGUGAGUGAAGAAGUUUUUCGUAUCGUAAAACUCUUUUGUUAGAGAAGCGGUAUCUAACCAGAAAGCCACGGCUAACUACGUGCCAGCCGCCGCGGUAAUAC
rnacentral:rRNA from 1 species